UGUUAUAUGCAAUAGUAAUUUUAUGCAGGGUGUAAUAACAAAUAAAAAAAUAACAGUUGGCGCGCGCGAAGCGCGUGCAUGUUCUAGUCCUUUUCUAAAAAAGAUAUGUUAUUUAUUUAUCGAAUGUAUCGAAGUCAUCUCGAAAGUCUCGAAGAAUUGUUGCCUUUAAUCCACGAUGCUGAUUGGUUCUUUCGCUGAUCAUUGAACCGCAUGCUUCGUAGUGUUUGACAGUUGUGUUUGACAGUUGUGUUUUCAAAUCAAAAUUGGUUAUAUCAAAAGUGUGUAAGUAAUAAGAAAAAAAGAAGGAAAGGAAAUAGAUUGGUAGGAGAAAGAGAGAGUUUCGACUUUUGUAGAAAGAAGAAGCAGAAAAGGAAACAGAAGGUGAAACAGCGACUUCUAUAGAAAGAAGGAGCGGAAAAAGAGAGAGAGAGAAAGAGAGUGUAAGAAA
rnacentral:lncRNA from 1 species